AUCACUUGUUGGUAUAUUGUGGAAAUUAUAAACAAAGCUGCAUAGGCAUGACAUGCAUUAUUUUUACCUUCUCACCUGAUGAUAAACAUUUGCAUCACUUUCAUCCGCUCGAGUUUGGAGAUGACCAGAAGGCGCCAAAAUGUGGAUAAUGAAAUUAAACUGGACGUGGACGCAGGUCAUGAAUUUAUAUCAGCAAGAUAUUGGUGUUGAGGAAGCUGACAACAGCUCUCGGAGGUCCAGCAGAUCCUGUAGGACCCACACAGCAGAUGU